UACAGAGGUCUCAAGCGUUGUUCGGAUUCAUUGGGCGUAAAGGGCGCGUAGGCGGCGGGGUCAGUCGGGUGUGAAAUCUUGGGGCUUAACCCCGAAACGGCACUCGAAACUGCCCGGCUGGAGGGCCGGAGAGGAGAUCGGAAUUCACGGUGUAGCAGUGAAAUGCGUAGAGAUCGUGAGGAACACCAGCGGCGAAGGCGGCGACCUGGGUGGAUACUGACGCUGAGGUGCGAAAGCGUGGGGAGCAAACAGG
rnacentral:rRNA from 1 species